AAGUGGGGCAGUAACCACAUGUGCCCAAUCUCGUCUGUUCUCAAAAGCUAAGCAGGGUCGAGCCUGAUUAGUACUUGGAUGGGAGAUCACUUAGGAAUACCAGGUGCUGUAGGCA
rnacentral:rRNA from 1 species